UAGGAGAAAAGAAGUGGUGAUUUCUGCGGAAGGUUAACGCUUGGGACUCAAGUUAGUUUUUUCGUAAUAUACAAUGCGUAACUUUUUAAAAUGCAUGUAUGAUUUCAUCUAUUUGGCGCCUUUCUUUCUUUUUAUGUGAUAAUUGUGGUGUACUGGCCAGCUUGCGCGCACCUCGACUAGUCCCAUGGGAUACCUGUCACCUCCCACCAGCAACAAGUACCAGAAGGCUUGGACAAAUUUAAAGAGGUUUGAACCUCAGACCUCAUGGUUCUCACCCACUUCGUUGACCUCUAGGCUGCAUCCCGCAUGACCUUUCUUUUUAUUUUCUUUAAGGAGUUGAAUAACCCUUCCCCUUUGUGAGACCUCAUGGUUCUCACUCACUUCGUUGACCUCUAGGCUGCAUCCCGCAUGACCAUUCUUUUUAUUUUCUUUAAGGAGUUGAAUAACCCUUCCCCUUUGUCUUACCUAAAGGUGUUGGAGAGCGUUGCCUUGGGAGAUCUGCUUUUUAGUUUCAGCCAGUCUUGAAGUACUUGGUUUAUGCAUCACCGGAUUGCUGAGCAUGGAUCGCGGAUCAACGGUUUCCUUUUUCCGAUAUUACUACUUCCGACAAGAAAGACCUAUCUAUGCUGUUAUAUAGUGACUGAAUAGAAUGUUUGAAUUGCCAAUCUUUGGCGUUUUUGUGAAAAAUAGAGAGCAUACCUGAUAAUCAUGCAGGGAUAUUGUCAUAAUCUAUGCUGUAGAUAGAUUUUUCCAUCCAACCUCAACUAAGGCUUCAGGCUUCAGUGUCAUUAUAAAAGAUUAGAAACACUAAAUGAUUACAUACUAAAAACCAAUAGGUUCUCCUAAUACAAUAGCUCCCGCUGCAUUUACUACAACCCCUACUAACAUGAUAUAAGUGAAUAAUGCAUAUUACUUAAUAGACAAUAGCUCCCGCUGCAUUUACUACAGCCCCUACUAACAUGAUAUAAGUGAAUAAUGCAUAUUACUUAAUAGAUUUUCAACUCUUUCUUUUUUUUUGAUAAAGUAAAGAUUUUCAGCUCAAUUUUAUUCCGUUCUAUUUGGAGUACUCAUAAUCUGGUACUUUUGGAACCGAUGUUGCAAUUUUUUU
rnacentral:lncRNA from 1 species